rnacentral:rRNA from 1 species
UACGGGGGAAGCAAGCGUUGUUCGGAUUUACUGGGCGUAAAGGGCGCGUAGGCGGCGUGACAAGUCACUUGUGAAAUCUCCGGGCUUAACCCGGAGCGGCCAAGUGAUACUGUCGUGCUAGAGUGCGGAAGGGGCUACUGGAAUUCUCGGUGUAGCGGUGAAAUGCGUAGAUAUCGAGAGGAACACCUGCGGCGAAGGCGGGUAGCUGGGCCGACACUGACGCUGAUGCGCGAAAGCCAGGGGAGCGAACGGG